GACGAACGCUGGCGGCGUGCUUAACACAUGCAAGUCGAACGGUAAGGCCCUUCGGGGUACACGAGUGGCGAACGGGUGAGUAACACGUGGGUGAUCUGCCCUGCACUUUGGGAUAAGCCUGGGAAACUGGGUCUAAUACCGAAUAGGACCAUGGCAUGCAUGUGCUGUGGUGGAAAGCUUUUGCGGUGUGGGAUGGGCCCGCGGCCUAUCAGCUUGUUGGUGGGGUGAUGGCCUACCAAGGCGACGACGGGUAGCCGGCCUGAGAGGGUGACCGGCCACAAUGGGACUGAGAUCCGGCCCAGACUCCUACGGGAGGCAGCAGUGGGGAAUAGUGCACAAUGGGCGCAAGCCUGAUGCAGCGACGCCGCGUGAGGGAUGACGGCCUUCGGGUUGUAAACCUCUUUCAGCACCGACGAAGCGCAAGUGACGGUAGGUGCAGAAGAAGGACCGGCCAACUACGUGCCAGCAGCCGCCGUAA
rnacentral:rRNA from 1 species